GAUGAACGCUGGCGGCGUGCCUAAUACAUGCGAGUCGAGCGAACAGACGAGGAGCUUGCUCCUCUGACGUUAGCGGCGGACGGGUGAGUAACACGUGGAUAACCUACCUAUAAGACUGGGAUAACUUCGGGAAACCGGAGCUAAUACCGGAUAAUAUAUUGAACCGCAUGGUUCAAUAGUGAAAGACGGUUUUGCUGUCACUUAUAGAUGGAUCCGCGCCGCAUUAGCUAGUUGGUAAGGUAACGGCUUACCAAGGCAACGAUGCGUAGCCGACCUGAGAGGGUGAUCGGCCACACUGGAACUGAGACACGGUCCAGACUCCUACGGGAGGCAGCAGUGGGGAAUCUUCGGCAAUGGGCGAAAGCCUGAGGGAGCCACGCCGCGUGGGUGAAGAAGGUCUUCGGAUCGUAAAGCCCUGUUAUGGGGAAAGAAAAGCAGUAUAUUAAUACCCCCCCGUUUUGACGGUACCUAAAGAAAAAGCACCGGCUAACUACGUG
rnacentral:rRNA from 1 species